rnacentral:rRNA from 1 species
GACGAACGCUGGCGGCGUGCUUAACACAUGCAAGUCGAACGGAAAGGCCCCUUUGGGGGUACUCGAGUGGCGAACGGGUGAGUAACACGUGAGUAACCUGCCCUUGACUUCGGGAUAACUUCAGGAAACUGGGGCUAAUACCGGAUAGGAAUCCUUGCUGCAUGGUGGGGGUUGGAAAGCUUCGGCGGUUUUGGAUGGACUCGCGGCUUAUCAGCUUGUUGGUGGGGUAGUGGCUUACCAAGGCUUUGACGGGUAGCCGGCCUGAGAGGGCGACCGGCCACAUUGGGACUGAGAUGCGGCCCAGACUCCUACGGGAGGCAGCAGUGGGGAAUAUUGCACAAGGGGCGGAAGCCUGAUGCAGCAGCGCCGCGUGCGGGAUGACGGCCUUCGGGUUGUAAACCGCUUUCAGCAGGGGCGAAGCUUGUGGUGACGGUACCUGCAGAAGAAGCACCGGCUAACUACGUG